GAACGGAGAGGUGAGCGAACAGAGAGCGUCACAUCCAAGGAUCCUCGCCCAGCUAGAAUGGCAGCAGCGAGAAUGGCGAGGCUGCGGAGGAAGGAGAGGAAUCAGAUGGUCUGAGAGGCGUCUGGCUCGUCGAGGAAUAGUUCCUCAGGCACAAGGAAAGCACUAUGGAGGCAAUCGACCACGAUGCCGAGCAUGAGAGCGGAGAUGAAGGUGGAGCUGACGCUAGUGAUGAACACGACGAAGACGGUGAGCCCAAUAACUAGGGUUUCAAAAUCUUUAACCGAUACAAAGCUCAAUUGAUUUGUGUGGUGUGUUGAACUUGCUCUUUUCGAGUAUUUUGCUGGAGAGAAAGAAAGUGUUUUGCAAGUAAGUUCAUGUUUUGCAAAAGGUGCAAUGGUGCUUAUCAUUGUUCGGUCUGCAACCUCCUCAUAAGUUCAAUUUUGAAAUGCUAGAGUGGGAGGGCAAGGAUUUCUUAAAAGAUGUUCUGUAUCCAAUCUAAGGCCUAUAAACGUGAAGGUUGAAUAUUUCAUUUUUCAGGUGUUUCUGCUGUAGUCCAGGGAGAAAAUAAUGACAACUGCAAGGAAAGAGAAAAAGAGAGAGAGGCUCGAAGAGAAGAGAAGCCUAAGAAAGCAACUUUGUUGGAAAAGCUUGAAGAUGGGGAUUCUAUUGCUGCAAGCAUGCUGCAGGGCUCUCAAAUUAAUAAUGAAAAAGAAGCUGGUUUAAUAACUAAUUCCAUUAAUAGUGUCACUCAACUGAAGGAGAGGUUGUCAAGUCAUAAUCCAUACAGAGGCAAGUCUGACUCCGUUAGGUUUGUUGAGUAUUGGGUUCCUGUACAAAUAUCUAAUAUGCAGCUUGAACAAUAUUGUUCUAUUUUACUGUCAAAUGCUUCUAUUCUGCGCUCCUCAUCAAAGGUUGAUAGCAUUGAGGCCGUUCGUGAUGUUCUUAUAUUAACUCGGAAGUGUUGUAGUCAUCCCUAACAAGGGUCUCGAACCGUCUCAGUAUCUUGAUUUUGAUUUAAAAGCAAGUGGCAAGUUGCAACUUCUUGAUUCAAUGCUUGAGGAGUUGAGAAAAAGUGAUUUAAGGGUGCUCAUUCUUUUUCAGGUACACAUUUCAGACUGUCUACCCAUUAAGUCAUUAAAUUUACAUCAUCAUCUAUUAGUUUCUUUAGCUUCAUAGUUAUCAAUCACAAUGAGGAGUGGCUGACCACAAAAAUGUUGUAGUUGGGUGACUCUAGUAAAACUAAAACUUGUGAGGGAGUCUCUAUGUUAGUGAGGCACAUGAUAGACCAAGUUCAAAGUGAGGUAAGCCAACUCAAAGAUAAGACAUUUUUCAAACAAGAUGCAUCAUUAAUAAGUGGAUUUGCUCUUUAAUUAUUGAUGGAAGAAGUAGUACCAAUGUGGUUAGCACAAGGUUGGUGGAAAAACUUAGCUUAGAAAUCAUUCCUCAUGCUAAGCCUUGCAAGCUUACUUGGAUAAGUAAGGAGGGAGAAAUAAAUGUCAAUAAACGAGUCCUAAUUAACUUUUCAAUAGGAAGCUACAAAGAUGAGGUCCUAUGUGAUGUUCUCAUGGAAGUCACACAUAUCUUACGAGGUAGGCCAUGACAAUUUGAUGAACAACUUUACAUGAUGGCCAUACCAACAAAUACAUUUUUUUCAUACAUGGGAAAAAGAUCACUUUACUACCUCUAUGAUUUCUAGUAGUUAAUAAGGAUGAAAAUAUAAUAAAAGAAGAAAAAGAAGAAAAAGAAAAAGGGCAAGUCUUUACCAAGGUGUUAGUUGCCUACAAAAAGAGUUUUCCAAAGCAAGAUGUGCACCACCAUUCUUCCUCUUCUUCCCAAACCAAGAAAGAAGAACAAAGGCACAAGCAAGAGAGGAAGAGUGGCUUAUAAAAGUAACAUGGCCUCUCCAAGGCUAGGGUUGGAACCCUUAGAAAAGAUGGAGAAAGAUCUCAAGAGAAAUUACUUCCUCAACUCAAGUCAAGCUCCAUCAACAAGGAUUUCAAGAAUUUGAGGUCAAAUUCUCUCAAAGAAGGGGAGGAUGAUGUAGGCUUGACCCUUACCAAGGAUAGUGGCCCAAGACAUAUGGUUUGGAGAACCCAUAUGUUUAGAUAGGGAGUUACCUAAUCCCUUCCAUUGUCUUAGCUUUCAUUAUGUUUGAAUUUUCCUAAGUUGACUUUGGUUGACUUGACUUUGAUGGACUUGUUGACUAUUGACUUGAGUUGACCUUAGUUGACAUGGUAAUCCUUAUUUAUUUGUUUUGUAGGUUUGCUUAUGGUAAUUAGGAGAGAAUGAACACUAAUGGGAGUGGAUUAAGACAUGUCUACAUGGAAAGCAUAAAGCAUAAAACAUGUGUGAUGUGGAUGAGAGAGGAAAACAUAAAGCAUAACACAUAAAGCAACAUGAGCAUAUGGUCCUCCUUGUACCUUGGACGAAAUUCACACAAAGAGACCACCUAGUCUACUCCAUUUUUGUCAUCUUAUGUAUUAGGUUUAACCUAGUUUCUAGAGGCUAGAGUUUUGUAAUUGUUUAGCUACCCUUUUGCACUUUUGGUUUUUGUUUAGAGGCCCCUAUAACUUUCUAUUUAAGGGGUGCUCUUUGACAUGUACGAUGGUUGAUCAAUUUGAGUAUUUUCUAUAUUGUUUCAACCACAUUUUCGUGAGCUUUUCCUCCAAGGAGUGGAGGUUCUCCUUUGCCUUGUCUUAAGUAAUCAAGUGACGACACAACAUCACUUAUCUCCAAGGGUUGGUUAGCCUUAUGGCCCCACUAUGAGUGGCAUGCUCCCUUGCUCCAUUACCAUCUUCUUAUGCUUCCAUAUUCUUCUUGUUUUCCUUCAUUUUAA